rnacentral:rRNA from 1 species
GACGGAGGAUGCAAGCGUUAUCCGGAAUGAUUGGGCGUAAAGCGUCCGCGGGUGGCAGUUCAAGUCUGCUGUCAAAGACCGGGGCUUAACUUCGGAAAGGCAGUGGAAACUGAACAGCUAGAGUAUGGUAGGGGCAGAGGGAAUUCCUGGUGUAGCGGUGAAAUGCGUAGAGAUCAGGAAGAACAUCGGUGGCGAAGGCUCUCUGCUGGACCAUAACUGACGCUCAGGGACGAAAGCUAGGGGAGCGAAUGGG